rnacentral:lncRNA from 1 species
GUGAUAGAGGGAACAAAGGAUUUAUAUAUUUUUUGUACAAAGUUUUUUCUUAAACUGUAUAAUUUUGUAAAUAAUUUGUUUGGUUUUUUUGUGUACUAAAACUACCAGCGUAUAGAUUUCAAUAAGAAUUGUUGUAUUUUUGUAUUUGGAAAUGGAAAAUUACAGUAAAUUAAUGGAACUGUAAGAAAAUUUUCAGUAGACUGACAGUUCAACAGAAUAAGAUUCCUUUUCAUAUGAUUUUUUAACCUCAAAAUUGACAUCUUAUUACACUCUUAGUACAGAGAGAGUUGAGGAUUUGUUUGACUUUUUAGUUAUGGGGGAGAGCAGAUGAAAGAGAAGGGUGUUAAAUUGAGGAAUAGAUAGAUACCUUUCCCAGUGAUUUGAAGGCCCUUUGUAUAAAACUUAGUUUGCAGUACACCUUAAAUAGGACCAAAAUACUUUAAGAUUUUUAAACAUGUUUGAAUCUUAAAAAUGAAUUUAAAAUAUGGGUUAAAUAUAAUGUUAGAAAAUUUAAGUUUAGCAUAAAAUAGUUGAACAUAUUUUUUUUCUUUAGGAUUUUUUACUCUCAUCCUCAAAUCCCCAAGCGUUAGAAUUUCCCUUAAAAGUAACUACCAUGACUUGUUUUCUUGGCAUCUUCAUUUACAGAAAUAACAUAUACCAUCUGAGGCAAAUUCUGUUCUUUUUAGUGUGUAUGACAUCUUUCUAAGUAGCUGAUGAGCAAUAACAACCACCAAUCUGCCUAGGUCACCCUGGUUUACUGAGCAGAUUGCUGCCCAAGCUGAAAAAGGUAACCCCAGGAAAUGCAGAAUUUCCCUCAAUUUCUUCAUGUUGUAACAUUGGAAAAACAUUAUCACUAGCUAAGAUGAUGAAUUGGAAAACAGUCUUGUUAGAGUGAAAAAAGUCCAUGGUGAUGGAUCAUUAUUUCAAAAAGAAGAAAAAAAUCAUGUGAAAAGGAAUAGUGGUUCCUCUUGAUGUAUAGUAUGCCUGUAUUAUAGUUUUUACAAAAUUGUGAACUUGUGUAAUAGUAUAAUAGGAGAUAUUGUUGAAUUUCUAACUGUUUAUACAUUUAAAUUCAUAUAUGUAAUGUUUGUUUUAUCGAUUACAAUCUGAAUUUCUAAGAAGCAUGUUGACUUUUGCAAUAAAGAUGCAAUAUGGAAUGGUUCACAAUUGAAAAAAAAGAAAAAAGAUACAAGUAUUACAAAUUUAAAAGAAUUUCGAAAAUUUAUGAACCAUUCCAAAAGUUAUAACAAUCACCAAAAGAGCUGUAAUUCUGGCUUGUUCUGGAAAGAAAGAAAAUGUGUGUGUAUGUGUGCUUGUGUGUGAGAGUGAGUGAGUAGUAGAUAUGCAUGUGUGUUUUAUGUUGGGUUCAUGUACAUGAGAGAGUGCCACUCAAUAUGAAUUUGCAUACUGAAUCACUGGCUAUUAAAAAUUUAGUAGAAUAACUCCCUCAAUAGGGUAGUCUUGAAAAG